CGAUCACCUGGAUCCUAGGUCGAUGCUCAACUGCUGAGCCACGCCUGGCUGGGCCAUUGAGCAGUUUUAGAUGAAGCUUUAUCUUCAGAUCGCCCCUCCUGUGAUAGCAACAGGGUGGCAGCAGUUUCAAAGCAUCAUGGUAACACUAGCAAAUCCAGCAAAAGAGGACACUUUCUCUCUGAAGCUCCAGCAAAUGGUAUAGUGUGUCUUACUGGCCCAUUCCUGAGCUCCCUGCUAUGUCCAAGGAGGUUGGACAUACUGAAUAACUUAUGCCAACCCAAGGCCAACUCAAAGUAUAUUGGUUGAAAGAAGGGAACAGAAUGAAGAAGGGGGAAAUGGGUGAGCAAACAUCUUAAGUGACUUUUAAAACCUUUAAUUGCUCUCCAUCAUUCUUAACGUAAAGGUUAGCCUCCUCAUCAGAGCCUGCAGUACCCUACAUGAUAUGCUCUAUCUUACUGCUUCAGUCUCAUCUUGCCCAUCUUUUCCUACUCGAAUGUGUACUGAACUUAUUUUAUUUUCUAACUGAGCCCUUUUCUCUCUGCCUUUCAGCACAUGCCAUUUCCUGAUGUUCAGCAUGCUUAAUUUAGGUGGUGUAUUAAUGGUGCUUAAUUUUAUAUGUCAGCUGGGCCUUGGUGUACAGAUGUGCAAUCAAACAUUAUUCUGGAUGUUUCUGUAAGGGUGUUUUUGAAUGAGAUGAACAUUUAAGUAGGUGGACUUUGAGUAAAGCAAAUUGCCCUUCAUAAGGUGGGUGGGCCUCAUUCAAUCAGUUGAAGGCCUUGAUAAAACAAAAGACUGACCUCCCCUGAGCAAGAGGGAAUUCUGCCAGCAGACAGUCUUCAGACAUGAAGUGCAACAUCACCUCUUCCUGGAUUCCCAGCCUGCGGACGCACCCUGAAGAUUUUGGACUUGCCAGCCUCCAUAAUCAUAUGAUAAAUUGACCUGAUGAAAAGGCCUGGAAGCAGAGAGGCCAGUCAGAAGGCUCCUGCAGGAGCCCAGAAAAAAGAUGAUGGGGACCUAAAGGAUUUAGUGAGAGAAAGGUAAAUCAUCACGAAUCUUUGUCAAAUUCAUGAAUUUUCCCCAUCAUUCUUAUGAUGAAAACAAUUAUAUAACCACACAACCACCAAAUAUGUUAAAUAAAAAAUUAUUCCUAGAUAAAGCAGGAAGUCUCCUCGGUCUCAGUUGAAUAAACCCAUGGGUAAAACAAAACACAACAAAAACCUCAACUAUGUUCCUGAGACAAGAGAAUUUCAUUUUAUUGCUGCUCUGAGAAUACAUUUAAUUACUCAAUCAUGCCAAUUAAAUAGGAAGUUCACCUGCUGACAAACAGCUAUCUUGGGAUAUAUCAAAAUAAAUUGUAGAAGUAAUUGGAUUUUCUAAUCAAUAUUAACUUCAUGAUAUUAGACAGCUGCUACAUUCUUUUACAUUUAAUACAGCACUUUUUUCUUAUAAAAUGUAAAAUUUUUAUUUGUUGAAUCUCAUGUUUAAAAAGGUGGAGCCCAGCUGGAGUGGCUCAGUUGGUUGAGCGUCACCCCGUGCACCGAAAGGUUGCUGGUUCGGCCCCUACCUCGUCAGGGCACGGACGGAAGGCAGUGAUUGAUGUCUCUCUCCCACAUUAAUGUUCCCCUCUCUCUCCACGCCUUCCUCUCUCUAAGCAUGUCCUUGGGUGAGGAUUUUAAAAAUUUAAUUAAUAAAAAAAAAGGGAGGUAAUAACUUUGUCCUUUUGUCAGGAAAAGUGGUUAUCCUGUCUGUAGUAUUAUUUUCUUAAACUCUUUUAGCCCUCUCAUUAAUUGUCCAUUAAAAUUAUAAAAUUAUUGCCCA